GAGUUUGAUCAUGGCUCAGAUUGAACGCUGGCGGUAGGCUUAACACAUGCAAGUCGUGCGAGAAAGUAUCUUCGGAUAUGAGUAGAGCGGCGGACGGGUGAGUAACGCGUAGGAAUCUACCUAGUAGAAGGGGAUAGCCCGGGGAAACCCGGAUUAAUACCGUAUACCUCCUUCGGGAGAAAGAAGGCCUCUCUUUGAAGCUUUCGCUACUAGAUGAGCCUGCGUAAGAUUAGCUAGUUGGUGAGGUAAUGGCUCACCAAGGCUACGAUCUUUAGCUGGUCUGAGAGGACGAUCAGCCACAUUGGGACUGAGACACGGCCCAGACUCCUACGGGAGGCAGCAGUGGGGAAUAUUGGACAAUGGGCGCAAGCCUGAUCCAGCCAUACCGCGUGUGUGAAGAAGGCCUUCGGGUUGUAAAGCACUUUAAGCAGGGAGAAAAAGUUAUAGGUUAAUACCCUAUGACCCUGAUGUUACCUGCAGAAUAAGCACCGGCUAAUUCCGUGCCAGCAGCCGCGGUAAUACGGAAGGUGCAAGCGUUAAUCGGAAUUACUGGGCGUAAAGCGCGCGUAGGUGGUUUGUUAAGUUGGAUGUGAAAGCCCUGGGCUCAACCUAGGAACUGCAUCCAAAACUAACUCACUAGAGUACGAUAGAGGGAGGUAGAAUUCAUAGUGUAGCGGUGGAAUGCGUAGAUAUUAUGAAGAAUACCAGUGGCGAAGGCGGCCUCCUGGAUCUGUACUGACACUGAGGUGCGAAAGCGUGGGUAGCGAACAGGAUUAGAUACCCUGGUAGUCCACGCCGUAAACGAUGACAACUAGCUGUUGGGAGACUAUGUCUUUCAGUGGCGCAGCUAACGCUUUAAGUUGUCCGCCUGGGGGAGUAC
rnacentral:rRNA from 1 species